UAAGCAUAUCACUAAGCGGAGGAAAAGAAACUAACAAGGAUUCCCCUAGUAACGGCGAGUGAACAGGGAAGAGCCCAGCACCGAAGCCUGUGGUCACUUGGUCACUAGGCAAUGUGGUGUUCAGGUCGUCUCGCAGUGGUACUGCUCCACCCUAAGUCCAGAAAUGAGUACGGCAUUAUGGACAUGGCCCAAGGAGGGUGAAAGGCCCGUGGGGGUGGAGACUCAGGCAGGACAGUACUACUCUGAGUGGACCUUGGAGUCGGGUUGUUUGUGAAUGCAGCCCAAAGUGGGUGGUAAACUCCAUCCAAGGCUAAAUACGUACACGAGUCCGAUAGCGAACAAGUACCGUGAGGGAAAGUUGAAAAGUACUUUGAAGAGAGAGUAAACAGUGCGUGAAACCGCUCAGAGGUAAACAGGUGGAGUUGAACUGCAAGCUCUGGGAAUUCAGCUGGUGAACGUGGCUUGAGCUUGGGCAUAUUGGUUGGCUUUCGGAGUCUGCUUAGCUGCAGGUCUUCACCUAUUUGGUGGGGAUUCGCGAUACACUUAUCAAGUGUUGCGUGUUCCGUCAGUCUUCGGAUCAGUUCGCCAGUGCACUUUCUCGGAGUGGUCACCACGACCGGUGCUGCUGUCUGGCUGUUGUGGUUAAACCGGCUUGUCUCGGUCUCACUGACCUUGACAGGUCGGGAUGGCAGGUAGCUCGUUGGCUUGCGUGUUGACUUCGGUUGGCGCGCGCCUGGCCUUUGGGUGUAAUCAGCUGACCGCAUCAGUUCUGUGCAGUGCAUCGGAGACGGCGGCUUCUGGUGUGUGCAUCGUGCUUAGUCUUUCAGUGGUUCCGUGUCUGGCUAUCUGUUGCCUGUUCAAGCAGGCCUGGUGGCGGCGCGGGGUCGUCUGUUGGGCGGUUGCGCGUGUGUUACCGAAUCAGUGCCAAUAGUCUGUGGUGUAGUGGUAGACUAUCCACCUGACCCGUCUUGAAACACGGACCAAGGAGAGUAACAUGUGCGCGAGUCAUUGGGCGUUACGAAACCCAAAGGCGCAGUGAAAGUGAAUGUUCGGCUUGUCCGGACUGAGGUGAGAUCCUGUCGUUUCUCACGCGCGGUACUACCAAGCAUCGAGCGGCAGGCGCAUCACCGGCCCGUCUCAUAACGUGAGUAUGAUUCCGAUCGUAUGUCGUUGGGGCGGAGCAUGAGCGCACAUGUUGAGACCCGAAAGAUGGUGAACUAUGCUUGCGCAGGUUGAAGCCAGAGGAAACUCUGGUGGAGGACCGCAGCGAUUUUGACGUGCAAAUCGAUCGUCAAACG
rnacentral:rRNA from 1 species